AUUGAACGCUGGCGGCAGGCCUAAUACAUGCAAGUCGAGCGCAGCGGCGGACGGGUGAGUAAUGCCUAGGAAUCUGCCUGGUAGUGGCGGAUAACGCCCGGAAACGGGCGCUUAUUCCGCAUACUUUCAGAUGAGCCUAGGUCGGAUUAGCUAGUGGGUGGGGUAACGGCGCACCAAGGCGACGACCCCUAGCUGGUCUGAAAGGAUGACCAGUCAGACUGGAACUGAGACACGGUCCAAAGUCGGACGGGGGGCAGCAGUGGGGAAUAUUGCACAAUGGGCGCAAGCUGGAUACAGACAUGCCGCGUGUAUGAAGAAGGCCUUCGGGUUGUAAGGUACUUUCGGCUGGGGAGCGUUGCCCGCAGAAGAAGCACCGGCUAACUCCGUGCCAGCGGCCGGGGUAAUUC
rnacentral:rRNA from 1 species